UGCUGUAAAUACGAGCUUCUGAAUUUUUGCGAUGACGUCAGAAGCGAGAGUUUUGGAUUCGUUUCUCGAACAUGCCGAGUGAGGGCGUAGUUGAUUUAUCGAGGAUCUAAAUUUUCUAUGAGAUAGAAUGAAAGUCAUUUUGGGAUUGUUUUUAAAAUUCAUGUUAAUCUGGAGAUGCCAAUGUUAUUGAACAGUUCAAGUUCAAGUGAGAGAUUGUAACUGCAAUGGUCAUUAAAGUCUUGAAGAAACGUCGAACUCGUGUGAUAAUAUUG